rnacentral:rRNA from 1 species
UACGUAGGGAGCAAGCGUUGUCCGGAAUCAUUGGGCGUAAAGCGCGCGUAGGCGGCCCUGUAAGUCCGUUGUGAAAGUCAAAGGCUCAACCUUUGAAAGCCGAUGGAUACUGCAGGGCUAGAGUCCGGAAGAGGCGAGUGGAAUUCCUGGUGUAGCGGUGGAAUGCGCAGAUAUCAGGAGGAACACCAAUAGCGAAGGCAGUUCGCUGGGACGGUACUGACGCUAAGGCGCGAAAGCGUGGGGAGCGAACAGG